UUUCAAGCAUUUCAUCAUGCUCCUUAAUUGUGAUGUUUAUGCUAGGGCUUCAAUUAACAUCACAAUUAAAGGGCAAUAUGAGAUAAGCGAAAUAUUAUUGAAACUUCAACGGAAAUCACAGAGUUCGUAAAGUGAAUUCAAAUCUCCUGCUAAAAUUGUGUUCGUGUGAAAACUAGGGCAAAUCGGGAAAACAAAGCACAUGAAUUUAUCUUUACAAUAGGUAUUUAUUAAACUAAAAAACCUAGAGAUGUAAUUUAUAUUGAGAUUACAUGAGUUAGAUCGUGUAGUGCUUCAACAAAA
rnacentral:lncRNA from 1 species